CUGACAGACAUGAUAUUUGUUACUGAGAGCAAUUCAAAAAAGGAAGCUUCUGUGUUUUGAUGACAAACAAGGAAAUACGAACAGAAAACACUUUGACAGAAAAACAAAAAGAGAAACAACAAAAAACCAACAACUACUGGAAGUAACAUUUUAUGUGACAACAGAUCUGACUGAAAUAGAAGAAACAAAAUAAAAGAAAUUGAAUUUAUUAAGUGAUUAUACUCUACUUGAAAGAUCUUGAAGAAAUGUAGUAAAAAAGUACAAUAAAGUUUGAAAUUGAAGC
rnacentral:lncRNA from 1 species